UGCAGUCGAGGGGUAACAGGGUGCUUGCACCGCUGACGACCGGCGAACGGGUGCGUAACGCGUAUAGAAUCUGCCUUGUACAGGAGGAUAGCCUUUAGAAAUGAAGAUUAAUACUCCAUAAUGUUGGGAAGUGGCAUCACUAUCUAACUAAAGAUUUAUCGGUACAAGAUGACUAUGCGUCCUAUUAGCUAGAUGGUAAGGUAACGGCUUACCAUGGCAACGAUAGGUAGGGGGUCUGAGAGGAUUAUCCCCCACACUGGUACUGAGACACGGACCAGACUCCUACGGGAGGCAGCAGUGAGGAAUAUUGGUCAAUGGAGGCAACUCUGAACCAGCCAUGCCGCGUGCAGGAAGACUGCCCUAUGGGUUGUAAACUGCUUUUAUACAGGAAGAAACAGUCGUACGUGUACGGCCUUGACGGUACUGUAAGAAUAAGCACCGGCUAACUCCGUGCCAGCAGCCGCGGUAAUACGGAGGGUGCAAGCGUUAUCCGGAAUCAUUGGGUUUAAAGGGUCCGCAGGCGGUCAAUUAAGUCAGAGGUGAAAUCCCAUAGCUUAACUAUGGAACUGCCUUUGAUACUGGUUGACUUGAGUUAUACGGAAGUAGAUAGAAUAAGUAGUGUAGCGGUGAAAUGCAUAGAUAUUACUUAGAAUACCGAUUGCGAAGGCAGUCUACUACGUAUAUACUGACGCUCAUGGACGAAAGCGUGGGGAGCGAACAGGAUUAGAUACCCUGGUAGUCCACGCCGUAAACGAUGGACACUAGUUGUUGGGCAAUAGUUCAGUGACUAAGCGAAAGUGAUAAGUGUCCCACCUGGGGAGUACGAUCGCAAGAUUGAAACUCAAAGGAAUUGACGGGGGCCCGCACAAGCGGUGGAGCAUGUGGUUUAAUUCGAUGAUACGCGAGGAACCUUACCAGGGCUUAAAUGUAGAGUGACAGGGGUAGAGAUACCUUUUUCUUCGGACACUUUACAAGGUGCUGCAUGGUUGUCGUCAGCUCGUGCCGUGAGGUGUCAGGUUAAGUCCUAUAACGAGCGCAACCCCUAUCGUUAGUUGCUAGCAGGUAAAGCUGAGGACUCUAGCGAGACUGCCGGUGCAAACCGUGAGGAA
rnacentral:rRNA from 1 species